CUUUACUGUAGCCUGGAAUUGGGUUCGGGCUUCGCUUGCGCAGGAUAGGUGGGAGGCAUUGAAGUACCCCUUGUGGGGGGUAUGGAGCCAACGGUGAGAUACCACUUUAGCGAGGCUAGAAUUCUAACCCUUACCCGUCAUCCGGGAAGGAGACAGUUUCAGGGGGGUAGUUUGACUGGGGCGGUCGCCUCCUAAAAGGUAACGGAGGCGCGCAAAGGUUCCCUCAAGCUGGUUGGAAAUCAGCUUAAGAGUGUAAAGGCAGAAGGGAGCUUGACUGCAAGAGUGACAACUCAAGCAGGGACGAAAGUCGGCCUUAGUGAUCCGACGGCACUGCAUGGAAGGGCCGUCGCUCAACGGAUAAAAGUUA
rnacentral:rRNA from 1 species